rnacentral:tRNA from 1 species
GAGAGUAUAGCUCAAUGGUAGAGUGUAUGCUUAGCAUGCACGAGGUCCUGGGUUCAAUCCUCAGUAUCUCCA